AGGGCACAGGGCGGAUGCCUUGGCACUGAGAGCCGACGAAAGACGUGAUAAGCUGCGAAAAGCCGCGGGGAGGAGCAAAUAUCCAUUGAGCCGCGGAUGUCUGAAUGGGGGAACCCGGCAGGAAGAACUCCUGUCAUCAUGCACUGAAUCCAUAGGUGUAUGAAGGGAACCCGGGGAACUGAAACAUCUAAGUACCCGGAGGAAGAGAAAGAAACAUCGAUUUCCUGAGUAGCGGCGAGCGAAAGGGAAAGAGCCCAAACCGGUGUGCGUGCACACCGGGGUUACGGACUGUCGAAAGUGAGCUGGAAGUUAGCCGAACGGUUUUGGGAAAGCCGGCCAGAGAGGGUGAAAGCCCCUUAGGCGAAAACGGAAGGCAGCGGACAGGAUCCAGAGUACCACGAGACACGAGAAACCUUGUGGGAAGUCGGAGGGACCACCCUCCAAGGCUAAAUACUACUCAGUGACCGAUAGCGCAUAGUACUGUGAAGGAAAGGUGAAAAGGACCCCGGGAGGGGAGUGAAAGAGCACCUGAAACCCUGUGUCUGCAAGCUGUGGGAGGACGUUAAGGUCCGACCGCGUACUUUUUGUAGAACGGUCCGGCGAGCUGCCACAUCCGGCGAGGUUAAGCACUUAAGGUGCGGAGCCGGAGGGAAACCGAGUCUUAACAGGGCGUUAAGUCGGAUGGGGCAGGCCCGAAACCGGGUGAUCUAUCCAUGUCCAGGAUGAAGCUGUCGUAAAAGACAAUGGAGGUCCGAACACACAUCCGUUGAAAAGGGUGGUGAUGAGGUGUGGAUAGGGGAGAAAUUCCAAUCGAACCCGGAGAUAGCUGGUUCUCCUCGAAAUAGCUUUAGGGCUAGCCUCUUAAAAGAGUAACGGAGGUAGAGCACUGAAUAGCCUAGGGGGCGUCAAAGCCUACCGAAGCUUAUCAAACUCCGAAUGCCGUAUACUUGAUUUAAGGGAGUCAGACUGCACGAGAUAAGUUGGGCAGUCAAAAGGGAAAGAGCCCAGACCGCCAGCUAAGGCCCCAAAAUGCAUGUUAAGUGGAAAAGGAUGUGGGAUCUCAAAGACAACUAGGAUGUUGGCUCAGAAGCAGCCAUGCAUUCAAAGAGUGCGUAAUAGCUCACUAGUCGAGAGGUCCUGCGCCGAAAAUGUCCGGGGCUGAAACAUGCUGCCGAAGCUGCGGAACCGCAAGGUUGGUAGAGGAGCAUUGAAUGCGGGAAGAAGCUGUACCGAAAGGAGCAGUGGACUGCAUUGAAGAGAGAAUGCCGGAAUGAGUAGCGAGAAAUAGGUGAGAAUCCUAUUGGCCGAAUAUCCAAGGAUUCCAGGGUAAAGCUGAUCUGCCCUGGGUAAGUCGGGGCCUAAGGCGAGGUCGGAAGACGUAGCCGAUGGACAACAGGUAGAGAUUCCUGUACUGCAUAUGGUCAGAACUGUGGGGACACGGGGUGUUAACGGAAGCCGGGAAAGGAAAGACCGGUCCAAGCACAGGAGGCGUUGCGCAGGCAAAUCCGCGCAAUGAGCCAAAGGUGUGACGGGGAGCGAAAUUAUAGUAGCGAAGUCCGGAUACAUGCUGUCAAGAAAAGCCGCUAUUGCGCCAUAUGUACCCGUACCGUAAACCGACACAGGUGGAUGAGGAGAGAAUCCUAAGGCCGGCGGGAGAAGUGUUGUUAAGGAACUCGGCAAAAUGGCCCCGUAACUUCGGGAGAAGGGGCGCCCAGAAAUGGGCCGCAGAGAAAAGGCUCAAGCAACUGUUUAGCAAAAACACAGGUCUAUGCGAAACCGAAAGGUGAGGUAUAUGGGCUGACGCCUGCCCGGUGCUGGAAGGUUAAGGGGAGAGGUUAGCCGCAAGGCGAAGCUUUGAACUUAAGCCCCAGUAAACGGCGGCCGUAACUAUAACGGUCCUAAGGUAGCGAAAUUCCUUGUCGGGUAAGUUCCGACCCGCACGAAAGGCGUAAUGAUUUGAGCACUGUCUCGACAACACACCCGGUGAAAUUGAAAUACCAGUGAAGAUGCUGGUUACCUGCGCCAGGACGGAAAGACCCCAUGGAGCUUUACUCUAGUUUGAUACUGGGACCCGGUAUGACAUGUACAGGAUAGGUGGGAGGCAGAGAAUUAAUGACGCCAGUCAUUAAGGAGCCGCUGUUGGGAUACCACCCUUGUGAUGCCAGGUUUCUAACGAGCUGCCGUGAACCGGCAGGCGGACAAUGUCAGGCGGGGAGUUUGACUGGGGCGGUCGCCUCCGAAAGGGUAUCGGAGGCGCUCAAAGGUUCCCUCAGAAUGGUUGGAAACCAUUCGGAGAGUGCAAAGGCAGAAGGGAGCCUGACUGCGACACCGACGGGUGGAGCAGGUACGAAAGUAGGACUUAGUGAUCCGGUGGUAUAAAGUGGGAUUGCCAUCGCUCAACGGAUAAAAGCUACCCUGGGGAUAACAGGCUUAUCACUCCCAAGAGUUCACAUCGACGGAGUGGUUUGGCACCUCGAUGUCGGCUCAUCGCAUCCUGGGGCUGGAGUAGGUCCCAAGGGUUGGGCUGUUCGCCCAUUAAAGCGGUACGCGAGCUGGGUUCAGAACGUCGUGAGACAGUUCGGUCCCUAUCCGGCGCGGGCGUAAGAGAUUUGAGAGGAGCUGUCCUUAGUACGAGAGGACCGGGAUGGACGGACCACUGGUGUAUCUGUUGCACCACCAGGUGCACGGCAGAGUAGCCAAGUCCGGACGGGAUAAACGCUGAAGGCAUCUAAGCGUGAAGCCCCCCUCAAGAUGAGAUCUCUCAUUCGAAAGAAGUAAGACCCCUUGA
rnacentral:rRNA from 1 species